UACAGGAAACUAUCCAACACUGAACAAAAGAUCCUAAUGCAACCCCAAGGCACAAAUGCAUCUGCAUUCAGGAACAUGUUGUUGUGCACCGUCCGUGGCUGACAAACCUGCAACGUAGCUUUCAGAUAACUUAAGCACUAUUGCACUAUUUACCCCGUGUUUAUACAGAAUGGACGCAUAAUUCUUAAUUAUUAUUAAUAAGUUGUUCCCUGGUGGUCUUAAACACCAAACAAUGCAACAAUGAAAGGCAUGUACAGGAUAUCAGCAGUUUUAAAGCACCGUACAGUUACGGUUAUCAUGAUGGGAAACAAUCAAACUUGUCGAGAGCUUGUAAUACCCCGUUCUUUGUUGACGCUUCCUGCUGGUCACCCAGUCCCAUUGCUGGGACAUGUUUGCAUAGAACGCCACUCUUAUCAGGGCCUAUCUUCCAAAGCCGGCCGAGCCCGGCGAGUGACAGCAGGAGCACGUACAGUGGAGGGCAGAUAAAGGCGCUGCUGUUUAAAUAAAGAGCGGUGGCAGUAAAGUGGGCUCGGAGGAAGGCCCCAUUCUACCUCUAGUACAAUGGAAUCAUUCUUCAGACCUGGGGACAGAAUAAUAUUGCCCUUCUGAAGCGGGUGGCACAGGAAAAGAGGGAGCCUCGAGGGAGUUACCCAAAACUCUCUGGCUUUAUUUACAGCCGUCCGGUCACUGAGGUACUGCUGGCACCCAUGGGAGGGCUGCAGAAUCAAAAGCGCUGCACAAAAAAACACCGUGGCUGGGCCUUGACUCUGGAAAUCUUUUCUCAAGGCCUCGCAAGUGAGGCUGCCUCAGCCGAGGAAUUGUUGUGCAGCAACAGGAACUUUUGAUGGAUUUACAGCUACAUGACGGGUGAAAAUGGCAGUUCAGGGCUCUGACCAAUGGAUGGCGCUUAUCCCUCAGAAAGUUCCAGACUUAUCACGCCCUUCUAUAAAGAAAGUCGCUGAAAAGUGUCUUGCUCUCUCCGUGCCAGAGGUGAAAAUGAAUGCUGGUUGUUCAGUGGGGGUGUGAAACUGUUUCUUCACACUGAUAAUGAAUUCUGCCCCAUAGUGAUUAAAAGAGGUUCUGAAUACCCCGAUGAUUUCUACAUGUGUUUUACACUCAGUUUCGAUAAUGAAUGUGAUGAUCUAAGGCUGGCCGCCCACCGCCUAAAAUGUAAUUCCUCCUUUAAUAUAUUUCUAUUUGAGCUUGUGAAAAUAUUCUAGAACUUCAAAUAUUUAAAAAAGCAUGUCAAAUUAUUUAUUAUUGUAGUUUAUUCUUCUUUGAUCUUUGAUCUGUUACCUGUUUGUCUCAAUUGUUGCUCCUUGUGUUUUUUAUUAUUAUUAUUAUUAUUUGUAUUAAUUGGUGGAUGUUUCUUGCAUUGUUGGAUGUUCCCUGUCUUUUUUUUUGUACAAUCUUCAAAGUAAUAAUAAUAAUAACAACAUUAGCGAAAGCUAAUUUAUAAAAUGUAAAAAUAAAUAUGAAACA